rnacentral:rRNA from 1 species
AGAGAUGUGUGAUGACGCAUAUCAAUAAGCGGAGGAAAAGAAACUAACAAGGAUUCCCUUAGUAACGGCGAGCGAAGCGGGAAGAGCUCAAAUUUGAAAUCUUCAAGGUUCUACCUUGACGAAUUGUAGUUUAAAGAAGUGUUUUCUGUUGAAGUUUCGGUAAAAGUUCUUUGGAAUAGGACAUCAUAGAGGGUGAGAAUCCCGUAUUUGACCAGUUAUUUUCCAGCUGUGUGAUACACUUUCAAAGAGUCGGAUUGUUUGGGAAUGCAGUCCAAAAUGGGUGGUAAAUUUCAUCUAAAGCUAGAUAUUGGCGAGAGACCGAUAGCGAACAAGUACCGUGAGGGAAAGAUGAAAAGAACUUUGAAAAGAGAGUUAAACAGUACGUGAAAUUGUCAAAAGGGAAGCGUUUGACACCAGUGUUGUUUUUCCGAAAGUCAAUUACGAAUGUUUUGUUUUUGAGGAGUUAUGACUUCAUCGGCUUGCUUCUCUCUUUAUGAAACUUUCUUAAUGCACUUUUCGGUUAACAAGUCAACAUCAAUUUCUUUUGUUGUAAAAGAGUAUGAGGAAGGUGGCUUUCUUUUCGGAGAAAGUGUUUAUAGCCUUGUAGCCUCUGCAAUCGGAGAGAUUGAGGUCUGCAGCGUAGAUCCUUCGGGGUUAGAUACAUUUGUGCUAAGUUAUAGCUUUUCAUAGACAACUUGUUGACUAUGUUUAGUCUUGUAGCUUACUCGCUUAUGCUAUUUUACCUACGCUUAGGAUGUUGAAGAUGUAGCACAUCA